AUCGCUGUAGCACAAUGGAUAGCGCAUUCGACUUCUAAUCGAAAGGUCGUGGGUUCGAAUCCCACCUGCGAUG
rnacentral:tRNA from 1 species